CUUUUCUCCUCAAGAAAUCUUAGUUCCUCCUCUCUUCACAGAGGAAGGCUUCUUAAAAAACAAAGUAAAACAAAACCCCUUGGGAGGGGGGAGUAUGCUGGGGAAAGAAAGGAGAUGGGGCAGCAGCAGGAGGACCAGAAUCUUCUUUGGGGUAAAAUACAGAAACUGUGAUCAGAGGAGAUCAGCCUGUUGGCUUGGGCUGCACCCAGUGGGCACCUGUCUGCAAUGUGGAUGAGGGAGGCUGCAGGGGGCUGGGCCAGUGAGGAGUCAAGUUCAGCAUGAAGAAGGAAGGUGUCGGUGCCUGAAGAUGUCUUGGAUGUAGCAUUUACCUAUAAGUGGGAAGAACGAUCAGAGUCAUCUGCAAGGUCAUGCUGGAAGGUCAACACUGAGCCUCUUUUCCCAGGAAGAUGGAGUAGACAUAUGUUUUUCCCUAUUUCUCCCACUGUGCACAAAUAGAAUCCCUGGACAUUAUAUAUAAAAUAUAUGAAAGAAGACUCUUAAAGAUGGAGAGAAGAAAAUAGACCUGCUAGGGGCCUCAGGACACAAGGAACAACAUGGUGGUGAGUUCCUAGGAUUUCUUUUUUGCCUCAUAUAUCUCAGAAUUAGAGCUAAAGAAGUCAGCAAACUGGAAACUCCAAAGGUGCACACAACCCUCCCACCCCCACCCCUCCAAGCCUGCUCGCUAGUUAAAGGAUACAAAAACAGGCAGCCUAGCAAGCCAGAAAACCUUCAGGUAGUAACCACUCCACUAUAGACCAACACCAUGGAAAAACUAUGCCCCACCCCUAACCGUUGCAACAGAGGCCUAGUGAAGAGGCUAAACUUCUCCUUUUCCAAGGCUAUAAUGAGGUUCUCCAACAUCAACACUGUGGUUGUUUUAGCAAAGGUCUUUUAGGGAAUGGAGACUUUCAUUCCUCUUAGAUGGUAAUAAGCACUCCUUCCAGGGUGUCAGUAGAGACCACACAGGGAGCAAUAAUGAGUUACUUCUACACCUCCCAGCCAAGGAUAUGUAAAUGGAAGCCUAGUUAGGAGCUCAGAUUCCCAUUCUUACCCAGCAGUAACAAGGAGUCAUCCCUUCCUUGGUUGUCAGAAGAGGGAAAAUAGGGAACUUGAGUUUCUCCCAGCAGGUGAUAAUAAUGAGUUGGUGCCCCGUCCCUUGUCCUACUGGAGUGAUGUCAAAGGAAGCCAUCUAAAAGAGAGUUUAAUAAGAUCCAAAGUCUCAUAAUAACCCUAAUAUCCAAGUUCCAAUUGAAAAUCACUCAUCAGACCAAGAACCAGGAAGAUCUCAAACUGGGUGAAAAAACAAUCAAUAGAUAUCAACAUCAGGAUGACAAUCAAGACAUGUUAGAAUUACCUGACAAAGAUUUUAAAGCAACCAUCAUACAAAUGCUCUGAUGAGGAAUCAUGAGUAGUUUCAAAACCAAUGAAAAAAUAGAAUAUCUUAGCAAAGGAAGAGAAGUUAUAAAGACUAACCAAGCAAAAAAUUUGGAACAGAAAAAAUACAAUGAGUAAAAUAAAACACUCAAUGGAUCAGCUCAACAACAGAAAGGAGUAAGAGAGGAAAGAAUCAAUGACUUGAAAUAGAAUAGAAAUUAACCAGUAUGAUAAAAAGAGAGGAAAUAUACAGGAAAAAAAGAACAGAGUAUUAGCCCCUAAUGGACCAUAAGACAAAAUCUAAUAUUUGUGGCACUGGAGUCAUAGAGAAGAGGAGAAAUACGGCAGGGCUGAAAGAGUAAUUAAAGAAAUAAUGUCUGAAAACUUUCAAAAUCUGGAAAAAGACAUAAUCUACAGAUUUAAGAAGGGGUGAGAAUUCCAAAAGUGAUAAGCCCAAGGAAAUUCACACCAAGACACAUAUAGUCAAAAAUAGAAGCUAAAUAGAAAAAAAAAAAGUCAUUAGUAAGUGGCUACAGAGAAACAACACCUUAUCUAUAGGGAAAAGACAAUUAAAAUGACAAAAUAUUUCUCAUUAAAAAUCAGGGAGGCCAGGAAUCGGCCUUAUGGCCAAGUGGUUAAGUUCACGUGCUCCACUUUGCCCGCUCAGGGUUUCACCAGUUCAGAUCCAGGGCAUGUACUUAGCACUGCUCAUCAAGCCAUGCUGUGGUGGCAUCCCGUAUUGCAGAACUAGGAGGACCUACAACUAGAAUAUACAACUAUCUAUUGGGGGGUUUUGGAGAGAAGAAGAAGAAGAAGAAGAAGAAAAACAGAUUGGCAAUAGAUGUUAGCUUAGGGCCAACCUUCCAAAAAAAAAAAAAAAAAAUCAAGGAGCCCAGAAGGAAGUGUCCCAACAUUUUAAAGUGCUGAAAGAAAAGACCUGUCAACCUGAAAUCUUAUAUCUAGUGAAAAAUCUUCUGCAAGAAUGAAGAGGAAAUUAAAAUAUUCUCAGAUGAAGAAAACUAAGACAAUUUGCCACCAGCAGAGCAACCUUAAAUAAUGGCUGAAACAGGAGAAGAACAAUGAACAGAGGAAUCUUGGAACAUUAGGAAGAAAGAACAAAGAAGUAAAAAAUAUGGGCAAAUACAAUAGACUUUCUUCUAAUUUAUUCUGAAUUAUGCUUAAUGGUUGAAGCAAAAAUUAUAACGCUUUCUGAUGUAGUUUCUAAUUAUGCAAGUAUAUUAUAAAUGGAGGAGGAUAUAGGAAUGUAAAGGGAAGAAAGAGUCCUACAUUUCAUGCAAACUGGUAAAAUGUCAACACUAGUGACUAUAAAAAUUUAUUUAUAUAUGAUUUAACAUCUAGAGCAACCAUUUAAACAUUAUACAAAGAGAUGCACUCAAAAACACAGAUAAAUAAAAAUAAAAUUCUAAAGAAUGUUCAAAUCAUUCAUAGAAAGGCAGAAAACAGAAAUAUGAAAAGUAGAGAGAACAAACAGAAAAAAUAAAUAAAACAGCAGACUUAAGCCUGAAAUAUCAAUAAUUACAUUAAAUGUAAGUGGUCUAAAUAUACCAAUUUGAAGCAGAGAGUGGAUUAAAAAACAAUAACAACAACAAAAUGCGACCUAACUCUGCUGUCUAUAAGAAACUCACUUCAAAUAUAUAACAAUAUAAACAGGUUGAAACUAAAAGGAUGGAAUAAAAUAUAUCUCAAAAACAUUAAUCAAAGAAAAGCAAGAAUGGCUAUACUAAUAUUGGAUAAAGUAGACUUCGGAACAAAAAAAGUGACUAAGGACAAAGGAUAUUAGAUAAUGAUAAAAGAUUCAAUCCAUGACGAAGACAUAGCAAUCUUAACACCAAAUGACAGAGCUACAAAAUAUGUAAAGGAAAAAGAGAUAGAACUGCAAAGAGAAAGAAAAAUCUACACUUGUAUUUAGGGGGAUCAAACAUUCCUCUCUUAGCAACCGAUAGAACAACUAGACACAAAAUCAGACAAGAUAUAGCAGAACUCAACAAUAUCAACCACAAACAGGAUGUAACAUUUACAGAACUCUCCAUCCAAUAAUAGCAGAAUUUAUAUUCUUUCCAGGUGCCUGCAGAAAAUAUGCCAAGAUAGAUGAUACCCUGUGAGAUAAACCAAACCUCAACAAAUCUAAACGAAAUAAAAUCAUGUAGAGUCUAUUUUCCAACCACAAGGAUUCAAACCAGAAAGACUGCAAGGAAGAGAGACACAGUAGAAUUGCAGGAAAAUCUCCAAAUACAUUCUUAAAUAGUUCCUGGAUCAAAAAGGAAGUCUAAUGGAAAAUCAAAAAAUGCAUUGGAAAAUUUUUUAAAAUGCAUUGAAUUGAAUGGAAAUGAAAAUACAACAUUAUCAGCAUUUGUGGGACUGAGAUAUAGCAGCAUUGAGAGAGAAAUUAUAGCACUAAGAAAUUAAAAAAAAAAACCCAAAGCAAGUAGAAGGAACAAAAGAAUAAAAAUAAGAACAGAAAUAAAUGAACUUGAAAACAGAAAAACAAUUAGGAAAUCAACGAAACAAAGAGCCAGUUUUACCAAAAAAAUCAACAAAAUUAACAAACUUCUAUCAAGACUAACAAGGAAGAAAGAAGGAAGAGACAAAUCACCAAUAACAGGAAUAAAACAGGCGAUAUCCCUACAGAUUCUGUAGAUAUCAAAAGAGAAUAAUAUAAAUAGAGAAAGGUAAAUAAGGGAAUACGAUGAACAACUCUACAGACAAAUUGAAUAACUUAGGCGAAAUUGACUAAUUUCAAAAACAAAUAUUACCACUGCUAUUAAAAAAUUUGAACUUUUAAUUUAAAAACUCUCAGGAGGGGCCGGCCCCGGGGCUGAGUGGUUAAGUUCGCGCUCCGCUUUGCGGUACAGUUUCACUGGUUUGGAUCCUAGGCGCGGACGUGGCGCUUCUCAUCAGGCCAUGCUGGAGCGGCAUCCCACAUGCCACAACUGGAAGGACUCACAACUAAAAUAUACAACUAUGUAUUGGGGGGAUUUGGGGAGAAAAAGCAGAAAAAAAAAAACCUCUCAGGAAGAAAUUGUCAUGCCCAGAUGUUUUCACUGGAAAAUUCUAUGCAACAUUUAAAGAAGAAUUAAUAUCAGUUCUACACAGUUUUUUUUACAGACAAUAGAAAGCAGAAGAAACACUCUCUAAUUCAUUUUUAUAAAUCUAGAUUUACCCUGAUAUCAAACCCAGAAAAGAAAAUCCCCAAAAAAAGAAAAAACCCAAAAAACACUACAGACCAGUAAUAUAUAAAAAGCAUUAAACACCAUGACCCAGUGGGAUUUGUUCCAAGGAUGAAAGGCUGGUUCAUUGAAAAUCAACCAUAUAACAGUAUAAUCUAUGAUAUUAAGAGGCUGAAGAAAAAAAAUCACAUCAUGAUAUCACUUAAUGAAAAAGAACACUUGAAAAAAUUCAACACUCAUUCAUGAUAAAAACUCAGAAAAAUAGGAAUAUAGAAGAAUAUCCUUAACUUGAUAAAGAUUGUCUACACAAAAACCUACAGCUAACCUUAUAUUCAAUAAAGAAUGAAUGCUUUCUGCCUAAGAUUGGGAACAAUGUAAGAUUGUCCUUUCUCUUCACUCAUAUUCCACAUAAUGUGGAAGUUCUGACCAGUGUGAUAAGGCGAGGAAAUGAAAUAAAAAGUGUACAGAUUAGAAAGGAAGAAAUAAAACUGUCCUGAUUUGUAAAUGACAUGACAGUCUACAUAGAAAAUCCCAAUGAAUCUACAAAUAUCUCCUAGAAGUAAUAAGUGAGUUUAGAAAGGUCACAGGAUACAAGAUCAAUGUGCCAAAGUAAAUUGUAUUUUCAUAUACUGGCAAUGAACAUGUGGACAAUACCAUGUAUAAUCAUUUUUUAAAAUGAAAUAGUUGUAAAUCUAACAAAACAUGUAUAGAACUUCCAUGCUGAAAACCACAAAAGGCCAACAAAAAGAUUCAAAGGAAAUCUCAAUAAAUGGAAGGACAUACUUUGUCCAUCAAACAGAGACUUGACAUAGCAACGAUGUCAAUUCUCCCCAAAUGAGAUAUGGGUUUAACACACAAUUCCUAUCAAAAUCCCCGCAAGAUUUUUCUUGUAGAUAGAGACAAGAUCAUUUUUAAAUUUCUAUGAAAUGUCAGGGAAACUAAAAUAGCUAAAACAAUUUUGAAAAACAAGAACAAAGUGGAUAGAAUGAGUAUAUUCAAUUUCAUGGCUUGCUAUAUAGCUACAGUAAUCAAGAUUGUGUGGUGUUGGUAAAAGGAUAAACACAUAGAUCAACACAACAGAAUAGAGAACUCAGAAGUAUAUCCAACUCUUUUUUGACAAAAGCACAAAAGCAAUUCAGUAGAGGAAAGAUGGUGUUUUCAAUAAAUGGUUGAAGAAAUUAGACAUCCAUAGGCAAAAAUCAAACCUUAAACUAAGUCUCACAUGUUAUCUAAAAACAAACUCACAAUAGAACAUGCAGGUAGGGACCAGCCCGGUGGAAUAGUGGUUAAGUUUUCAUGCUUUACUUCAGUGGCCUGGGGUUCACAGGUUCAGAUCCUGGUUGUGGACCUAAACAUUGUUCAUCAAGCCAUGCUGUGGUGGCAUUCCACAUACAAAAUAGAGGAAGAUUGGCACAGAUGUUAGCUUAUUGACAAUCUUCCUCAAGCAAAAAGAGGAAGAUUGGCAAUGGGUGUUACUCAGGGCCAAUCUUCCUCACCAAAAAAACAAAAACACCACAAUGAAAUAUCAUUACACAUUUAUCAGAGUGGAUAAAAAAAUUGCCAAAUGCUAGUGAGGAUGUAAGAAUGCAAAAACACUGGAACCCUCACACAUUGUUGGUGGCUAUGUAAAAUAGCACAGCCACUAAGGAAAAUAUUUUGGCAGUUCUUCAAAACUAAACAUCCAACUACCAUACAAUCCAGUAAUUACACUCAUAAGCAUUUAUCCAAGCUAAAUGAAAAUUUUGUUUACACAAAAACCUAUAAAUGAAUGUUUAUAGCAAAUUUGUACUAGUAAAAAACUGAAAGCAACUCAGAUAUCCUUCAAUGAGUGAAUGAUUAAACAAACUGUGGUACAUCCAUGACAUAGACUACUAUUCAGCAGUAAGAAAGAACUGUUGAAACACCAACAACCAGGAUGAAUCUCCAGAGAAUGACUCUGAGUGAAAAAAGCCAAUCCCAAAAGGAUAAAUACUGUAUGACUCCAUCUAUGUAACAUUCUUGAAAUGAAAAACUACAGAAAUGAAGAACAGAUGAAUGGUUGCCAAGGGUUAAGGACGGUGUAGAGGUGGGAGGAAAGUGUUUGUUGCUGUAAAAGAUCAGCAUGGAGGAUCCUUGUGGUGAUGGAAACGUUCUGUAUCUUGACUGUUUAAAUGUUAAUAUCCCGGUUGUGAUAUUCUACUGCAGUUUUGAGGAACUAUCAUACUUUUCCAUAGCAUACGCACAAGUUUUCCUUCCCACCAGCAAUGCACAAAAGCUUCAGUGUCUCCAUGUCCUUGCCAACACUUACUAUUUUCUGUUUCUUUUGAGUUUUUGAUGAUAUUCAUCCUAAUGAGUGUGAAGUGGGUGUACUAUGAUUUGGCCAGGUACUGCCAUUGAGGGAAUCUGGGGAAAGGGCACACAGGACCUCUGUAGUAUGUCUCACAAGGGCAUGUGAAUUUACAAUUACCUCAAAAUAAAAAGGUUAUUUUUUUAAAAAAAUCCUAACUGCCAAAAUUAGACAAUAAUGAAAUGUGUAAAGCAAAAAUUAAAAAUCACCCAUAAUCUUACUACUGAGCUGAAGCAAACUUUGGUAGUUGAGAGCUGGGGUGUUGGAGACAAAGGUCUUAGGUAUGAUUCAUUGCCUCACCACUUCUUAGCUCUAUUAGCUUCUGUUUCCUUAUCUAUAAAAUGGAAAUGAUUUUUUUUUUUUGUGAAGAAUUAUAAAGGGUCUAAAAAUUUACCCUACAUGCCAGCUAACAAAUUAGUCUGCCACAGUUUCAUGAGUGCUAGCAGAAGACCAGUGAUUCCCAGGCCAGAGACAAAAACUUUCCUGCUCACAGCGGCAGCUCCAGAGUAUCAGCAUUUCAGCCAAUUUUCCAAGCCUCACUGCCCACAGGACAACACAAAGAGGGUGAGGUGAUGCCUCCACAUUCAGUGGUUUGAGUUAUUGGAGAGGUGCUUAGGGAACUCAAACCUUUCACAUUAGGUAGCAGGUUUGCUUGACCUUUGCCCUGGAGAGAGAUAUCUUUAUGAUACUGAACAAUGAACCUUGCCCAAUGUCCAUCUUACAAGGCUGUUUGCUAUAUAAACACUCUUGAAAGGAUAGACCCAAACCAAGGGAGUCAGUCCUUCUGCUUGCAAAUCAUGCAGAAACUCAAUAGACACAUGGGGAGUUGUCUGCCAACCAUUAUAUAACUCAAAAUGUCUUUGUGAAGUUGUUUGCUUUCUUUGGGGGAGAGGUGGGUAAAGUCUUUGCAGGUAAAGGAUUAGCACAGUCCCUGGACCAUGGUGAGUACUGAAUAAAAGUGAAUUGUCAACUUUUUAAAACAUUUCACAAUCAUGUAAGUCUCUACCAGUCAGUUGAUCAUAUCAUCUAUCUUCCCACCGACACUUUCCAUCAAAAUUCCAUGAUCUCUGGCCUAUGUCUAAAAUACCAAUUUUUCGUCUCCUUUUGCUUCCUUUGUCUCCUUGUUUGCCAAGGAAUAAAGGAGUUCCAGAAAAUAGCUAUAAAGAAUGUUAGGAGGCUCUGUGCUGCCAGCUUCAUUUCCCGGGAUAAAGCUGAUGAAAUUAUCUGUGAUUCUGACAGCUUUUCAGGUUUGUAGAAGAUUAAAUUUCAUAUGCUUGGGCCAGUAGUAGCUUUAAAAACCCUCUGUACCUGAGUGGCUUCCUGUUUUAUAUUUGGCCUUGAUCUUACAUUAGAAGUAUAGACUUAAGUAUUUUUCAAAAUAGGAUGAAUAAAGAGCUGAGUCAUGCUAAUGAGAAUUUAAAGUAGGGGGCUUGGUGGGAAAUGGGUUUGGAACAGAAAUUUGUCUUUCAUUCCUUUGCAAUUUAGUGUUUAAUAGUGGCCAGGGGUCCACAUAGAAAAGACUGGGAGAUGUUACUAAAACUUUGACUUGUAAAAAAUGUUCUCCUCCACCUUCAGGCUUUUCAACUCUGUAUAAGCAGAGAGUUAGGACAUGCACAGGAAAAUACCAACAAGUUAUCAAGAUCUCAGUUCUCAGAAAAGCCUAAUGAAGAUUUAUUUUAAAAAUAUCUCUGCAGGGGCCGCCCCAUGACCUAGUGGUUAAGUUUGCAGCUCUGCUUUGGCAGCCCAGGGUUUCACUGAUUCAGAUCCUGGGCACGGAUAUGGCACCACUCAUCAAGCCAUGCUGAAGCAGCGUCCCACAUAGCACAACCAGAAGGACCUACAACUAGAAUGUACAACUAUGUACUGGGGGGCUUUGGGGAGAAGAAGAGGGGAAAAAAAAGGAAGAUUGGCGGCAGAUGUUAGCUCAGGUGCCAAUCUUUAAAAAAAAAAUCUCUCUCCAGAUAAACUGUCUCUGGUAUUAUUUGUGAACCUUCCAACUUAAGGUCCAGGCAGAAGAGAAGGUGACUAUAAUCUCCCUAGGCUUUUAUCAACACAAAACACUACAGUACCCAAGCUAGUCUCUCAUCUACUUUUUCUCCCAAACUGGCACAUCAUCCCACGCUUCUGUUAACUCUAAAGGGAGAAUAUUUUCAGUCAGUUAUAGUUUUCUUAUAGUGCGAAGUAGAGAUAUGGAAGAAAUCUCUGUUCUCUUGGAAUCAAGAAAUUUUAUAGACCAUCUCCACAAGUUACUUGCUUAAAAGAAACCUUUUCAAAGCUCUCUACAGCACUUUAUGCAUACAACUACAGGAGCUGCUAUAGGAGACACAGAAGCAGCCUCAGUCUCUAUUUUAAGAACUGGUACUCUCAUUGAGAGUAAAAGAAACGUGUAGAACACAUGAUAUGUAGAAUACAUGUCUUGUCAGACAGACCAGCUAAACUGCUAGGAAGACAAAGGAAGGAUGCAGUCAAGGAGGUCUGAGGGAUACCACCAGAAGUGGAGAGAUAACUGGAGGGAUUAAAUCCACUCUAAACAUGAAAAUAUUUUAAAAUGUAACUGCAGGAAAUAGAUCAGACAGACUGCAGGAAAGGAAUUUCAAAUCCCAGUCACUCAGUGAGCCAGACAAAUGAUUUAAAGGGAAAGGCCCAGUGUAACAGAGAAGGAAUGAUGCAAGGGAUAGUUUUCCAAAUACAUAGAUACUGGGGGAGAGUAAAAGAAAGCGGAAGCUGAAGAAGAGUCUUUUGGCACUUGGAUAGUGAAGGGGAAACGAAGUAAAAGGGAAAAACGUUGGACCUGCAAGACAAAAGAUAACCACAAUAUUCGAGGACUCAUAAACCUUCCACCUCUACUGAAACAAAGAAACAAAAGCCCCAUUAAAAUACCCAGCCUUUGCUACACAGAAAAGGGUGCCAUUAAACUAGAAAUCUUGUGAAACACCUCAAUAUCACAAAAAUGAACAAGAGGAAAAUUAAAUUCAUAUAGAACUAUUGAUUUGUAGAAAAUCAGGAAAUGAAUUUUUGCACAAAUUUGUUUUAAAAAAAGAAUCAUAAAGCAGAAGAAAACUGUAAAUCUACAUUCUAAAUAGAAUUGUGUACAAUCGAAUAAGCAUUUUAGGAUAUAAACCACUUUUAAUCAGAAACUAAGCCUAUAAAGGACAAUAAGCAAGAUAAAUUUUUUUAAGUUGAUUGAAUUCAGGAAAGAAAUGGAAGGAAAAGGCAAAAUUCUCUCAGAGACAGAAAUUAAAUUACAAGACAUAAAUGAAAAAUGAAUAAGAGGCAUCAGAAAAGGCCAGACAACAGCUAAGAAAAUGACAGAAAGUCCUAAAAUGGAUGGGAGAGAAAAUAGUGGAAAUGGAAGAUAGGCAAAGAGAGAAUAAUAUUCCUAUCACUAAAAUCCCUGAAGGAGAAAAACAAAUCAACAGAGCAGAACUAAUAUUUAAACUAUAAUCCAAGAAAUAUUUCCAGAGUUAGAAAAUGAUCUGAAUUUAUACAUUGGAAGGAUUGACUGGCUACCUGAGAAAAUUAACAAAGAAUCAUCAACUCUGAGGCAUUUCUGAGUAAAAUUAUUAGAUUUCAAAUAUAAAGAUAUAAAGAUAAAGUCUUCAAGGACUGCAAGGAAAAAAAGACAAAUAACUUUAAAAAGUGAAGGAAUUAGGCUGGCAACAAACUUUUCAAGGUGAACACACAAAACUAGGCAACAAUGGAGUAGUAUUUUUAAAAAGCUUAAUGAAAGAAAGUAUGAGUCAAGGGUUCUCUAUUUCUCUCUUUCUGUAGACAUUAAUUAAUUGGAAUACUACUAUGAGGAAGAGCUGUCUCUUUCCCCUCAUCUAUUUAUUUGCUUAUUUGGGUAUAUCAGCCUAGACUUAGGACUAUUUUAUUUUGUUCUAUGUGUUAAAAUCCAAUAUUAUUGUUAUUAUUAUUUAUUUUGUUGUUCAAAUCGUUCCAGCUGUGGUGAUUAGAGGUUCCUUCAGGUUGGCUCCUGGGUUUUUAAAUUUCCAUUAGAAAGUCUUUCUAUUAUUUGUUUUUGUUAGUAAAUUU
rnacentral:lncRNA from 1 species